CCUACGGGAGGCAGCAGUGAGGAAUAUUGGUCAAUGGACGAGAGUCUGAACCAGCCAAGUAGCGUGAAGGAUGACUGCCCUAUGGGUUGUAAACUUCUUUUAUAUGGGAAUAAAAUGUUCCACGUGUGGGAUUUUGUAUGUACCAUACGAAUAAGGAUCGGCUAACUCCGUGCCAGCAGCCGCGGUAAUACGGAGGAUCCGAGCGUUAUCCGGAUUUAUUGGGUUUAAAGGGAGCGUAGGUGGAUUGUUAAGUCAGUUGUGAAAGUUUGCGGCUCAACCGUAGAAUUGCAGUUGAAACUGGCAGUCUUGAGUACAGUAGAGGUGGGCGGAAUUCGUGGUGUAGCGGUGAAAUGCUUAGAUAUCACGAAGAACUCCGAUUGCGAAGGCAGCUUACUGGACUGCAACUGACGCUGAGGCUCGAAAGUGUGGGUAUCAAACAGGAUUAGAUACCCCAGUAGUC
rnacentral:rRNA from 1 species